rnacentral:misc_RNA from 1 species
AACCACUCACGCCUAGCGUGGUAUUGGGGCACGCGGUCUCCGCGGCCCUCAAAAUUAGUGGCGGCGCCGGUGGGCUCUAAGCGUAGUACAUACUCCCGCUAUAGAGUCCCGGCGGUGGCUUGCCAAAACCCCUCUAUUUUCUUAC